rnacentral:rRNA from 1 species
GACGAACGCUGGCGGCGUGCUUAACACAUGCAAGUCGAACGGAAAGGCCCUGCUUUUGUGGGGUGCUCGAGUGGCGAACGGGUGAGUAACACGUGAGUAACCUGCCCUUGACUUUGGGAUAACUUCAGGAAACUGGGGAUCAUACCGGAUAGGAGAUCCUGCUGCAUGGUGGGGGUUGGAAAGUUUCGGCGGGUGGGGGUGGACUCGCGGCUUAUCAGCUUGUUGGUGGGGUAGUGGCUUACCAAGGCUUUGACGGGUAGCCGGCCUGAGAGGGUGACCAGCGACAUUGGGACUAAGAGACGGCCCAGACGCGUACGGGAGGCAGCAGUGGGGAAUAUGGCACAAUGGUCGGAAGCGUGAUGCAGCAACGCCGCGUUCGGGAUGACGGCCUUCGGGUAGUAAACCGCUUUCGCCUGUGACGAAGCGUGAAUGACGGUAAUGGGUAAAGAAGCACCGGCUAACUACGUG